rnacentral:lncRNA from 1 species
CAGCUAAGAAAGCAGAACCUGUAUCUCGCCCUAAACAAAAAAUCUUACCUGAACACUUGGGUAUGAGAGAGGCGGCGUGACCGCUUUUUAGCGUACGAUGCCUAAAGAACAGCAAAGGCGUAUUCCUUCUGCCUCUGUGGAGAAUACUUCGUGGAAAUUGAAUAGGGUUAGGGCGUCCAAUCGGGAGCAAAUGCCCAUGUCUGACCCGGGAGUUGGCCCCGACGACUCUUAGGGGCCGGAAGCAACAGAAAGGCCGCCGGUGAAGCUCGAACACGGUUUAGAGUCCAUGGAAGAUGAAAAAAUGCAAGGGAUAACAAAGCGAGGCGCCAAUACGCGAGACCAGCCGUAAAUACGGCUUACAGGAGCGGCCCCGAGGCAACACAGUCGAUGUAAGGCCACUUGGAAGGAAAGCGUUGAUAGGCAUUCGACAGUAACCGCACGCAAGGGCGUCGAACGGCGGCGCGCCUGGAACAUUAAGACCAACUUCCACCAGGCAGCCGAAGUUCUGGCUCACGCGCAGUGCUCGACGUAACCCAACGGGAACACCACGCAUGUACUCCCACCACGAUGAAACAAAUAUAGCCUCCGAAUGAUUACUGGUAGAUUGACAAGUUAGCAAAGUGCGUAUGGGAGUCUCCUACGGAAGCAGAGAUCCCGGCAUCGAGGCCACACGGAAGCAAUGAACACUUACAGCUUCCGAUAAUUAGAAGAUAUAAAAAGAAACUGUAACGAAGAAGAAAGCAGAAAACGGAUAAGGGAAGUGCGAAAAAAUCAAGAAAAUACAAAGGGGUAAAAUUUUUCUCUCGCGCGGCCUUUUGGCGCGCGCGAAUCUUUUGACGUCCCCCUAAAUCUCAACUCCGUUGUCGCUUGCUCAUCCCCAAAACCUUAUCAGCGCCUUUUUUCAUGUCAUAAACAUAUUGUACAAUCACCUCUUUCGAUGUCAUAGAUACAUCUUCCAAUCAGAUGCGUGCUACAGCUCAUCUAGAAUCUUACCAAAUUAUCUAUUGUAGUGAAAUAAUUAAUUUACAAGAGAUAUAUUUAUAACUAAUUCGAAUUGAAGUGUUUUGAUUUAACUGUUCAAAAUACGUACUCUUUAGAUUCUACGCUGGCCCUAAAAAUCCAUCCAAAAUAGGAUAAAGGUGCCAAUUAUGUUUAUGAGUCCCUGUAUUCCCAGAACCACUUGGAAGAUUAAAUGCACGUUUUUCUUUUAUAUAUCGGUCGAUAAGAUUUCUCCAUUUCUUUUAAGAUGUUCAACUGCAUAGAGUAUUAAAAAAUAGUUUUGUAUUGUUUAAAUUAUAUCACCUAACACAGUGCAAGAUUUUAGGAUGAAUUUUAAACAAAACGGGUUAACUAACCUGUUGAUUUUAAUCCAGUUUAUAUUUCCGACCACCGGUUCUCUUUUGUUACGAUGUUUUAACGCGGCUGUGAUCGUCUUAGUGCCCGUCAAAAUAAAUACAUGCACAAGCCGGUUUCACCAACUCAACCACGUUUAUUUAUCACUACUACUGUAUAUACCAACAAACAGACAUGGAUAACUAUUAUACGGGCAAGGUUCUAGCUCCUAAACCCUACAAUUUCUACUGCCAGGUCACCCAAGAACUGGCUACCGCUAUCCGUGAUAACGACUAACCGAUCAGAUAUCCAAAUAACCAUUAAAUACUUAUCGUGAUCUGUUGGUUUCUCUGCGCGACACCGUCGUGCGGCUGUGAAGUAACCUUGGAGUCCUACUGGUCGUCCUAAACGACCAAUACUUGGAGUUUCUCCACUUCCCACGUGAGAGACGUGGAUAUUCAGGCGAAUAGGAUCAUCUUCCCUAUCUAUGACCUCAGAGACGAGGGGUUCUUUCUGGGUGCUCUGAGUAAGUCUAUUACUCGUUAUUUAUCAAAUGUUGGAUAAUUGGCAUUGUCAGAUCUCACUCCUCUUAUUAGUAUGUACAAACAGUUAGUAGCAGUAAAUUAUAGAAAGAAAUUCUAUAUUUUUUAAAAUAAAAUUUAAUUCUUAAUUAUUCCAAUUCAAUUCAUUUAUAAAAUUUUAAUUAUAAUAAAAUCUUAAUAUAAAAAAGUAGAUAUUUAAUUUGUUAAUUCAUAGUUCAGUCUUAU